rnacentral:rRNA from 1 species
CGAAGUCUUCGGACUGAGUGGCGGACGGGUGAGUAACGCGUGAGAAUCUGCCUAGAGGUCGGGGACAACCAUUGGAAACGAUGGCUAAUACCGGAUAUGCCUUACGGGGUGAAAGAUUAAUUGCCUUUAGAAGAGCUCGCGUCUGAUUAGCUAGUUGGUGAGGUAAGAGCUCACCAAGGCAGCGAUCAGUAGCUGGUCUGAGAGGAUGACCAGCCACACUGGGACUGAGACACGGCCCAGACUCCUACGGGAGGCAGCAGUGGGGAAUUUUCCGCAAUGGGCGAAAGCCUGACGGAGCAAGACCGCGUGAGGGAGGAAGGCUCUUGGGUUGUAAACCUCUUUUGUCAGGGAAGAACAAAAUGACGGUACCUGACGAAUCAGCAUCGGCUAACUCCGUGCCAGCAGCCGCGGUAAUACGGAGGAUGCAAGCGUUAUCCGGAAUUAUUGGGCGUAAAGCGUCCGCAGGUGGCUGAUCAAGUCUGCGGUCAAAGACCGGGGCUUAACCCUGGAAAGGCCGUGGAAACUGAUAGAGCUAGAGUACCGUAGGGGUAGAGAGAAUUCCCGGUGUAGCGGUGAAAUGCGUAGAGAUCGGGAAGAACAUCGGUGGCGAAAGCGCUCUACUGGACGGUGACUGACACUCAGGGACGA